GGCAAUGGCGCGGACUACUCUGCAGUCGAGCGAUGGAUUAAAAUUUUGCUCUUAUGAAGUUGCGGCGGACGGGUGAUGAACACGUGGGUGACCUGCCCAUAAGACUGGGAUAACUCCGGGAAAGGGGGGCUUAUACCGGAUAACUUUUUGAACCGCAGGGUUCCCAAUUGAACGGCGGCUUCGGCUGUCACUUAUGGAUGGACCCGCGUCGAAUUAUCUAGGUUCUGAGGUGACGACUCACCAAGGUGACAAUGCAUAACCGACCUGACAGGUUGAUCAGCCACACUGGGACUAACACACGGCCCGGACUCCUACGGGAAGCAGCCAUAAGGAAUCUUCGACAAUGGACGAAAGUCUGACGGAGCAACGCCGCGUGAAUGAUGAAGGCUUUCUGGUCGUAAAAAUCUGUUGUUAUGUAAGAACAAGUGCUCGUUGAAUAACCUGGCACCUUGACGGUACCUAACAAUACAGCCCCGGCUAACUACGUGCCAGCAUCGGUGGUAAUACGUAGGUGGCAAGCGGUAUCCGGAAUUAUUGGGCGUUGAGCGUGCGCAUGUGGUUUCUUAAAUCUGAUUUGAAAACCCACGGCUCAACCGUGAAGGGUCAUUAGAUUCUGAGAAACUUGAGUGCAGAAGACGACAUUGUAAUUCCAUGUGUAGCGGUGAGAUGCGAAAGAGAUAUGGAGCGAACACCAGUGGCGAACGUGACUUUCUGGUCUGUAACUGACACUGACGCGCUAAAGCGUGGGGAGCAAAUAGGAGUACGAUACCCUGGUAGUCCACGCUGUACACUGAUGAGUGCUAAGUGUUAGAGGGUAUCUCGCACUUUAUUGCUGGAGGUUCAGCGCAUGAAGCACUACCGCCGUGGGUAGUACCGCCAGCAACGCUGAGACUCAUACGACUUGACGGGGGCCCGCGGCAACGCUGAUGGAGCAUGUGGCUUUACUUCCAAGCACUACGACGAACCGUGACUCGCGUCUUGACAUCAUCUGAUGUCGUGA
rnacentral:rRNA from 1 species